rnacentral:rRNA from 1 species
UACGAAGGGGGCUAGCGUUGCUCGGAAUCACUGGGCGUAAAGCGCACGUAGGCGGAUCUUUAAGUCAGGGGUGAAAUCCUGGAGCUCAACUCCAGAACUGCCUUUGAUACUGAGAAGCUUGAGUUCGGGAGAGGUGAGUGGAACUGCGAGUGUAGAGGUGAAAUUCGUAGAUAUUCGCAAGAACACCAGUGGCGAAGGCGGCUCACUGGCCCGAUACUGACGCUGAGGUGCGAAAGCGUGGGGAGCAAACAGG